rnacentral:rRNA from 1 species
CGCUAGUAAUCGUAGAUCAGCAUGCUACGGUGAAUACGUUCCCGGGUCUUGUACACACCGCCCGUCACACCACGAGAGUUUGUAACACCCGAAGCCGGUGGAGUAACCUUUUAGGAGCUAGCCGUCGAAGGUGGGACAAAUGAUUGGGGUGAAGUCGUAACAAGGUAGCCGUAUCGGAAGGUGCGGCUGGAUCACCUCCUUUCUAAGGAUAUAUUCGGAACAUCUUCUUCAGAAGAUGCGGAAUAACGUGACAUAUUGUAUUCAGUUUUGAAUGUUUAUUUAACAUUCAAAUAUUUUUUGGUUAAAGUGAUAUUGCUUAUGAAAAUAAAGCAGUAUGCGAGCGCUUGACUAAAAAGAAAUUGUACAUUGAAAACUAGAUAAGUAAGUAAAAUAUAGAUUUUACCAAGCAAAACCGAGUGAAUAAAGAGUUUUAAAUAAGCUUGAAUUCAUAAGAAAUAAUCGCUAGUGUUCGAAAGAACACUCACAAGAUUAAUAACGCGUUUAAAUCUUUUUAUAAAAGAACGUAACUUCAUGUUAACGUUUGACUUAUAAAAAUGGUGGAAACAUAGAUUAAGUUAUUAAGGGCGCACGGUGGAUGCCUUGGCACUAGAAGCCGAUGAAGGACGUUACUAACGACGAUAUGCUUUGGGGAGCUGUAAGUAAGCUUUGAUCCAGAGAUUUCCGAAUGGGGAAACCCAGCAUGAGUUAUGUCAUGUUAUCGAUAUGUGAAUACAUAGCAUAUCAGAAGGCACACCCGGAGAACUGAAACAUCUUAGUACCCGGAGGAAGAGAAAGAAAAUUCGAUUCCCUUAGUAGCGGCGAGCGAAAUGGGAAGAGCCCAAACCAACAAGCUUGCUUGUUGGGGUUGUAGGACACUCUAUACGGAGUUACAAAGGACGACAUUAGACGAAUCAUCUGGAAAGAUGAAUCAAAGAAGGUAAUAAUCCUGUAGUCGAAAAUGUUGUCUCUCUUGAGUGGAUCCUGAGUACGACGGAGCACGUGAAAUUCCGUCGGAAUCUGGGAGGACCAUCUCCUAAGGCUAAAUACUCUCUAGUGACCGAUAGUGAACCAGUACCGUGAGGGAAAGGUGAAAAGCACCCCGGAAGGGGAGUGAAAUAGAACCUGAAACCGUGUGCUUACAAGUAGUCAGAGCCCGUUAAUGGGUGAUGGCGUGCCUUUUGUAGAAUGAACCGGCGAGUUACGAUUUGAUGCAAGGUUAAGCAGUAAAUGUGGAGCCGUAGCGAAAGCGAGUCUGAAUAGGGCGUUUAGUAUUUGGUCGUAGACCCGAAACCAGGUGAUCUACCCUUGGUCAGGUUGAAGUUCAGGUAACACUGAAUGGAGGACCGAACCGACUUACGUUGAAAAGUGAGCGGAUGAACUGAGGGUAGCGGAGAAAUUCCAAUCGAACCUGGAGAUAGCUGGUUCUCUCCGAAAUAGCUUUAGGGCUAGCCUCAAGUGAUGAUUAUUGGAGGUAGAGCACUGUUUGGACGAGGGGCCCCUCUCGGGUUACCGAAUUCAGACAAACUCCGAAUGCCAAUUAAUUUAACUUGGGAGUCAGAACAUGGGUGAUAAGGUCCGUGUUCGAAAGGGAAACAGCCCAGACCACCAGCUAAGGUCCCAAAAUAUAUGUUAAGUGGAAAAGGAUGUGGCGUUGCCCAGACAACUAGGAUGUUGGCUUAGAAGCAGCCAUCAUUUAAAGAGUGCGUAAUAGCUCACUAGUCGAGUGACACUGCGCCGAAAAUGUACCGGGGCUAAACAUAUUACCGAAGCUGUGGAUUGUCCUUUGGACAAUGGUAGGAGAGCGUUCUAAGGGCGUUGAAGCAUGAUCGUAAGGACAUGUGGAGCGCUUAGAAGUGAGAAUGCCGGUGUGAGUAGCGAAAGACGGGUGAGAAUCCCGUCCACCGAUUGACUAAGGUUUCCAGAGGAAGGCUCGUCCGCUCUGGGUUAGUCGGGUCCUAAGCUGAGGCCGACAGGCGUAGGCGAUGGAUAACAGGUUGAUAUUCCUGUACCACCUAUAAUCGUUUUAAUCGAUGGGGGACGCAGUAGGAUAGGCGAAGCGUGCGAUUGGAUUGCACGUCUAAGCAGUAAGGCUGAGUAUUAGGCAAAUCCGGUACUCGUUAAGGCUGAGCUGUGAUGGGGAGAAGACAUUGUGUCUUCGAGUCGUUGAUUUCACACUGCCGAGAAAAGCCUCUAGAUAGAAAAUAGGUGCCCGUACCGCAAACCGACACAGGUAGUCAAGAUGAGAAUUCUAAGGUGAGCGAGCGAACUCUCGUUAAGGAACUCGGCAAAAUGACCCCGUAACUUCGGGAGAAGGGGUGCUCUUUAGGGUUAACGCCCAGAAGAGCCGCAGUGAAUAGGCCCAAGCGACUGUUUAUCAAAAACACAGGUCUCUGCUAAACCGUAAGGUGAUGUAUAGGGGCUGACGCCUGCCCGGUGCUGGAAGGUUAAGAGGAGUGGUUAGCUUCUGCGAAGCUACGAAUCGAAGCCCCAGUAAACGGCGGCCGUAACUAUAACGGUCCUAAGGUAGCGAAAUUCCUUGUCGGGUAAGUUCCGACCCGCACGAAAGGCGUAACGAUUUGGGCACUGUCUCAACGAGAGACUCGGUGAAAUCAUAGUACCUGUGAAGAUGCAGGUUACCCGCGACAGGACGGAAAGACCCCGUGGAGCUUUACUGUAGCCUGAUAUUGAAAUUCGGCACAGCUUGUACAGGAUAGGUAGGAGCCUUUGAAACGUGAGCGCUAGCUUACGUGGAGGCGCUGGUGGGAUACUACCCUAGCUGUGUUGGCUUUCUAACCCGCACCACUUAUCGUGGUGGGAGACAGUGUCAGGCGGGCAGUUUGACUGGGGCGGUCGCCUCCUAAAAGGUAACGGAGGCGCUCAAAGGUUCCCUCAGAAUGGUUGGAAAUCAUUCAUAGAGUGUAAAG